ensembl:lncRNA novel transcript, sense intronic to CACUL1
UGUUUAUCUAAAUGCUAUUUUAUCCAGGUUCAAGCUCUUGUAAUAGGAUUUAUACUACUUGUAAGGAGAAUUCUAUAUUUGAGAAUUGUCCUUUUGAAAAGGUGAAUUUUAUCACAUACUAACCUUUUGCUGCCCUGCACAUUUUCUGAGAUACUUGAAAACAUAUUUUGACAUUUACAUGUUUUGCCAGUACCCAUUAUGUUCCUGCUUUAUUAAAGCCAUUUUAUUCACCUGACAGAUUAAGAUUAGAAUAUUUUAAAAGUUGAAUUUUGAAAGCAAAAGUUUGUUCUACUGCAGUAGUUCGCAAGUGCUGGUCUUUGUAUGACUGCAUCUGAGUCACUUAAGAAGGCUUUUUAAACUCUAGAUUCCUGGGCUGUAAUCCUUGGAGAUUCUCAUGACUUACCAUUUUUGGCAUCCAUUCUUUAGAAAUAGUUCCAGCAAUCCUAUUCUGCCCGUUUUCAUUUAAUACACACACUUUGUUUCUUCAUCUUUAUUUUGUGGCAGAUGGGUUUGACUUUGCCAGCUGUGACUGAUUAGUGGUUCUCUGUAGCACUGUAUUGAGACUCUUAGUGAAGCCAUAUUUGAGCUGGACUGGAAGGAGGGAAGCAUUUUGCCACGAGUUUCUCCCAAGGCGUGACUGAAUGGAUUGGUCCUUGUAUCAUUUGCAGUGCUUAUUUGCCAGCUUUAAUUAGCUAUUCUCCUGUUAGACGUUUUAUUAACUUCUACUUUUUUACUUACCACAGAGCAAAUGUUCCACAGCAUCAAGCGUGGCUUUUUCUGAUUUAUAAUCAUUUACUCAGAUUAUCGUUUUUAAAGUGAUUCAAGAGCAUUAAUAUUUUUAUAGUUUUUGACAUGUGUAGCCAAAAUGUUUUCCAAGAGGAAAAAUGUAAAAGGGCUAGAUUAAAACAAUUCAAAAUGAGUAAUAGUGUUAAUUGAGGACCACCACCAAGGAAGGGAAAUACUGGUUUCCCCAUGCCCUUGAUACAGGUGGGUGUUAAUUCUCUUUAAUGUUCACUGAAUAAAAAGGAGAGAGUAUAUUUAUUUUAGCUUGAAUUUUUUUAAAUAUUAACAGGGCUAUUCUGUUUCUAUUAUUAUAGGUUCUUUCACUCAUUUAUCUGGUCUUACUGAUCUGUACAUAUUCGUUAUAAUAAAGAUACUAAUUCAUCUUUGUCAUA